ACGGCUCAGUAACACGUAGGUAACCUACCCUUCGGACGGGCACAACCCCGGGAAACUGGGGCUAAUUCCCGAUAGGUACCCCCUUCUGGAAUGUGGGGAUAUCCAAAGCUCCGGCGCCGAAGGAUGGGCCUGCGGCCGAUUAGGUUGUUGGCGGGGUAACAGCCCACCAAGCCGACGAUCGGUACGGGCAGUGAGAGCUGUAGCCCGGAGAUGGGGACUGAGACAAGGCCCCAGGCCCUACGGGGCGCAGCAGGCGCGAAACCUUCACAAUGCACGAAAGUGUGAUGAGGGUACUCCGAGUGCGCAUACAUUGUAUGUGCUUUUCUGCAGCGUAAAUAGUUGCAGGAAUAAGGGCUGGGCAAGACCGGUGCCAGCCGCCGCGGUAAUACCGGCAGCCCUAGUGGUGGCCGCUUUUAUUGGGCCUAAAGCGUCCGUAGCCGGACAGGCGAGUCUUUGGGUAAAUCCUACGUCUUAAGCGUGGGAAUUCUAAAGAUACUACCUGUCUUGAGGCCGGGAGAGGCUGGAGGUACUCCUGGGGUAGGGGUAAAAUCCUAUAAUCCUGGGGGGACCACCGAUGGCGAAGGCAUCCAGCUGGAACGGGCCUGACGGUGAGGGACGAAACCCAGGGGAGCGAGCCGGAUUAGAUACCCGGGUAGUCCUGGGCGUAAAUGAUGUGGGCUUGGUGUGAGCGCAUCGACGAGGUGCGCUUGUGCCGUAGGGAAGCCGUUAAGCCCACCGCCUGGGGAGUACGGUCGCAAGGCUGAAACUUAAAGGAAUUGGCGGGGGAG
rnacentral:rRNA from 1 species